UACGUAGGGUGCAAGCGUUGUCCGGAAUUAUUGGGCGUAAAGAGCUCGUAGGCGGUCUGUCGCGUCGGCUGUGAAAACCCGAGGCUCAACCUCGGGCCUGCAGUCGAUACGGGCAAACUAGAGUACUGCAGGGGAGACUGGAAUUCCUGGUGUAGCGGUGAAAUGCGCAGAUAUCAGGAGGAACACCGGUGGCGAAGGCGGGUCUCUGGGCGGUAACUGACGCUGAGGAGCGAAAGCGUGGGGAGCGAACAGG
rnacentral:rRNA from 1 species